UUGGAGGGCAAGUCUGGUGCCAGCAGCCGCGGUAAUUCCAGCUCCAAUAGCGUAUAUAAAGUUGUUGCAGUUAAAAAGCUCGUAGUUGAAUUUCGGGGUUAGUAGGUUGGUCAUGCCUCUGGUAUGUACUGGUCUCACUGAUUCCUCCUUCCUUAUGAACCGUAAUGCCAUUAAUUUGGUGUUGCGGGGAAUUUGGACUGUUACUUUGAAAAAAUUAGAGUGUUUAAAGCAAGCUAACGCUUGAAUACAUUAGCAUGGAAUAAUGAAAUAGGACG
rnacentral:rRNA from 1 species